GCCUCUGUGGUUUAGUGGUAUAAUUAGGACCGGUAGGUUUUAAAUAAGGGUUCGAUUCCCUUUUAAGGCG